rnacentral:rRNA from 1 species
UACGUAGGGUGCGAGCGUUGCCCGGAUUUAUUGGGCGUAAAGGGCGCGUAGGCGGCCACGCACGUCCGUUGUGAAAUCGCCCGGCUCAACUGGGCGGGGUCAGCGGAUACGGCGCGGCUGGAGCAAGCUAGGGGGCAAUGGAAUUCCCGGUGUAGUGGUGGAAUGCGUAGAUAUCGGGAGGAACACCAGUGGCGAAGGCGGUUGCCUGGAGCUUUGCUGACGCUGAGGCGCGAAAGCCAGGGGAGCGAACGGG